AUAUUGGCGCGGGGACCAGGGUGAUCACGGACGCCCAGGCCCCAGGUGGAGGCUCGCCCUUGUACUCUGGCGGGCUGAAGACUGCGACGAUCCCUAAUCGGGAUCGCUGGGGGGAGCGUAGUUUUUGACAGUGGAGGGGUCUUCGGACCAUCCCUU
rnacentral:snRNA from 1 species